rnacentral:rRNA from 1 species
GACGAACGCUGGCGGCGUGCUUAACACAUGCAAGUCGAACGCUGAAGCUCAGCUUGCUGGGUGGAUGAGUGGCGAACGGGUGAGUAACACGUGAGUAACCUGCCCUCUUCUUUGGGAUAACGCCCGGAAACGGGUGCUAAUACUGGAUAUUCACUGAUUCUCGCAUGGGGGUUGGUGGAAGGUUUUUUCUGGUGGGGGAUGGGCUCGCGGCCUAUCAGCUUGUUGGUGGGGUGAUGGCCUACCAAGGCUUUGACGGGUAGCCGGCCUGAGAGGGUGACCGGUCACAUUGGGACUGAGAUACGGCCCAGACUCCUACGGGAGGCAGCAGUGGGGAAUAUUGCACAAUGGGCGAAAGCCUGAUGCAGCGACGCCGCGUGAGGGAUGGAGGCCUUCGGGUUGUAAACCUCUUUCGCUCAUGGUCAAGCCGCAGCUUUGGGUUGUGGUGAGGGUAGUGGGUAAAGAAGCGCCGGCUAACUACGUG